rnacentral:rRNA from 1 species
CACACGACUCUCGGCAACGGAUAUCUUGGCUCUCGCAUCGAUGAAGAACGUAGCAAAAUGCGAUACCUGGUGUGAAUUGCAGAAUCCCGUGAACCAUCGAGUUUUUGAACGCAAGUUGCGCCUGAGGCCUUUUGGUCGAGGGCACGUCUGCCUGGGCGUCACGC